UAGGACCCAGUACGAUUGUCGGCACUCU
rnacentral:sRNA from 1 species